rnacentral:rRNA from 1 species
GACGAACCAUGCGAACGUUGUUCGGAUUCACUGGGCUUAAAGGGCGCGUAGGCGGGCGGUCAAGUCAGGGGUGAAAUCUUUCGGCUCAACCGGAAAAGUGCCUUUGAUACUGGCCGUCUCGAGGGAGGUAGGGGCAUGCGGAACUUCCGGUGGAGCGGUGAAAUGCGUAGAUAUCGGGAAGGAACGCCGGUGGCGAAAGCGGCGUGCUGGACCUCUUCUGACGCUGAGGCGCGAAAGCCAGGGGAGCAAACGGG